rnacentral:rRNA from 1 species
AAGAGUUUGAUCAUGGCUCAGAUUGAACGCUGGCGGCAGGCCUAACACAUGCAAGUCGAACGGUAACAGGAAGCAGCUUGCUGCUUCGCUGACGAGUGGCGGACGGGUGAGUAAUGUCUGGGAAACUGCCUGAUGGAGGGGGAUAACUACUGGAAACGGUGGCUAAUACCGCAUAACGUCGCAAGACCAAAGAGGGGGACCUUCGGGCCUCUUGCCAUCAGAUGUGCCCAGAUGGGAUUAGCUAGUUGGUGAGGUAACGGCUCACCAAGGCGACGAUCCCUAGCUGGUCUGAGAGGAUGACCAGCCACACUGGAACUGAGACACGGUCCAGACUCCUACGGGAGGCAGCAGUGGGGAAUAUUGCACAAUGGGCGCAAGCCUGAUGCAGCCAUGC